GAUCGCGGGGUCACGCGCGCACCUGUCGCUCUGCUGGCUAUAAUUAGCGCUCGGCGGCGAUCCCUUUGCCUUAAUUAGGAAUGGGGCAGGUGGAAAUGUCAACCCCCCUCCGUGGGGCUGAGCGAGGAAAUCAUUCUCCUUUUGCUUUCCCUUCUGCGGAUCGCAGCUGCACCCGGAUUCCCUGAAACCCCAACAAGGACAAUGCAGAACGAGAGCGCCCUUCUGCUUCCUCUUUGCAUUCCCAUCCCAGAGACGCGCUGUGUGGGGCGGGCAGCGUUCUGAUGGACGCAGUGAUGGGAAUUUGGAGCGUUGUUUCAAAGCAGCACGCGGCAGAGCUCCAGUCACCAAAGCACCGCGCGUUUCCUUCCUUCUGCUUAUCAGCACAGCGCCUGACAGCGCUGGCGGCAUUCCUGGCCAUAAAGGGGGCUGUAAUUAACGACCUAACGAUGCAGCUGGUUUUUGCAGGUGGAGGGACACUGGGCUCAGCCACCUUUGGUCACCGUGGAACCAAAUACAUUUGGAACAUGUCAUCUUCUGUGCAGCUGAGAAUUGCCCCCCACCCCACUGCCCCCAAACGGACGCCAACGAGAACAGCCGUCCUUCCUGGCAGCAGGGAGCCCUCCUGACCCAUCGCGUGGCCAUGCUGUCGCCACAUGCUCACGAGUUCUUUUUUGAGCAGCUCUACGGCUGCGUGCCGGGUGAGUCACAUGUCACUCAGUGGCACUUCCUUUUUCCGUGCUCAUUUCUGUACAGAGCCGUUCGUGGUGACGCUUUGCCAACACAAACUGGGGGUGACAGCUGCGACCGCAGGCAGACGGCGAUGCUCUCUGCUUUUAGAAUGUGCCAGCUUGAGGUUGAUGCUAGGAGAGGUUUGGCAGAGGGGACACCAGCAUUCCUGGGGAGUGCCUCUGUGCCCCUGGGGCAGCUCAGCUCUGUGACAGGCACGGAGCUCUGCUGCAGGAUGCAUCAGUGAUCCCAAAGCUUCCAUUCAGACUUCAAGCUGUAAGGUGUUGCUUAUGGGGUCAAGGUUAGGAUCAGGGUCAGGAUUAUGGUUAGGAUGUGAGCACUGUUAUGUCAGGAUUUCUGGAUGCCUUCCUUGGAGGUAGUGUUGGGAUGAGGCAGCACUGCAGCUAAUAAAGAACUGAGGGAUGGCAGUGUUUCCACCUGCAGAUUUUUAUGUUCUUGGUUUGCUCUGGGCUGUGCUGCGGAGCGUUUCUCCAAAGGUUGGGUGGCAUCACAUCUCAACAGUGCAAAACCCUUCGUACCCACUUGGAAGAAUGGGAGGAACCUUGGAAAAUUCUGAGCUGGAAGGAACCAUCGUGAUAUUCGUGUCCAAUUUCUACCUCCAUACAGGACUGCCCUGAAAGAAGAUAAGGAGCUCUAUCAGCUGGUGGCAAAACCAUGGGCUGGCAGGAUGAACACACAAAAAGGAGCAACUGUCCUUCAAUGGCAGUCAGUGCCCACGCAGAGCAGUGGUCCUCAUGGGAUGGUCACAAAGUGCCUGGAUACGUUCAGGAGGAGAUGUGUUGCUCUUCAAACCUGUGCUGCUUUGCUUUCCUCAUCCACACGUCCGUCAUCUCUCAGCAAAAGGGUCUUUGGAAGAAAGAGUUGGGAACAGUGCAGAGCAGAUUUGCUCUGAGGAUCUCCUACAAUCUGCACUCCAGUGGAAACAUCAGCACCAGACCUUCCGUACAUUGAUUCUGAUCACAGCGCUCUAUGAAACAGCAAAAAAAUGUGUCUGCAGUCACUCUGGAUUCCUCUUGGCCCCUUGUCAACUGCUUUACGGUCGGUGAGUCCCAUCAUCAGGGCUGGCAGCUCCGCAUCACCAGUUCUCCAUCACCUGUCCCCAAUUUUUGUCCGCUGUCCUCCAGAGUUACCAUCAACCUCUCACCUCUGUGACAGCAGGACGUGAAUUUCUGACAGCAUUUUCAGACAGGUGCAGCUCCUGUUGCACCCGUUUGCCCCUCUGCCCAUCCCUUGGCCACCCCGUGGCAAUGUGUUGAAGCCUGUGCUGCUCUACCAGCCCUAAAGCCAUCAGCAUUGCAGCGUAGUUAAUUAUGGGGCACUGCCAACCCCACUGCUGUGUCCUCAGCAAAGAGUUUUGCUGAGCAUCUGAAUUGCUCUCCGAAACAACAAGUCAGUGAUACGUUUUUCGUUGCUACCAAAACUUUUCACAUUUAGUUGUACCUGUAUCCCAUAUGGGUUUGGCUGUACCCGUAUCCAUUGUGGAUAUGGGGCACCCGCACCCACUGUGGGCUGAGCUGAGCCCUCACCCAUUGGGCUGUGCCCACACUGCUAUGGGCUGAACGUUCUCUUCCGUGCUGAAAAGCUACACAGACGUCCAUCCAGGAGCAGAAGACUGAUGCAAUCCAGACAUCUUGUGAAAAAUUAAAAUGAGGUGCAUCCCACGUGCUCCAUCAGAAAGUGCCCUUUUGGAAAAAGAAGUUGUGAAUGGACUCGUGUUUACACCACUUCUUAUGCAUCUCACAGUGAAGUCUGUGCAUCCUCAGAGGGAACUCUCAGCCCAAAGGAAUCUCCUGGAAACCCGGGACACAUCAUCUUCAGGCCUGCAGCUUUCUGAAGUCGUAGACCCAGAGUCUGUUCUUUGGAAAAGAAUUGAAAAAGGAGGAAAAAAAACCCCACAAACCAACAACAAAACCCCAAACCGUGUCCUUAGGGGUCAUGAAGUGCUGCAUUUCAGGGACUGUGGGAUGUCAGCACUGUGAAGUGGUCCCAGCACCACGCGUCCUCUACAUUCCUCACUGCCCCGUGCUCUGUGGCAGCACGAUUUCCCAUUGUGUUUCAAACAUUCUUCACUGGAGUUCUUAAUAACUGCAGAUGUCAGAAGGGGUUUGGGAGCUGAGCUUUGACGCUAUCCAACAUCCCACCCAUGGGGCUGCUCACUCCACUCCCAACGUCCAAUUGCACUCUUUUGUGAAAGCAGAGCAGUUCUGUUUUUUUUUUUUUUUUUUUUUUUUUUUUGUCUAAAUGCAUUAAAAUGGUCCAAAACCACAGAAGGACAACCUCAGUGUUAUCGACAGGAGAUGGCAAAUUCCCACCCUACUACAGGGAGAUCCCCAGUGCUUAUGGGAUGAUCUGAAGCCCACAGGAUCUGGAGGGGCUGCCCCGAUGUCGCAGUGCUGUUCAGUCCUUCUCUGCUGUGCAGAAUUCCCCUUGCCAGUGGGGCCCAUCAUGAUGCUCGCAGAAAUCCACGGUUAAUUUUGGAUUGCUGUGGGUUGGGGUGGCUGGGUGUGGGACCCACAGGUCUCCAUCCACGCUUGUUGGCGCAGGGCUCUGCCCUGUGUGCUGCGUGUGAGCUCGCUGUGACGAGAGCAGCAUCUUCAAGUGCCUUCACCACGUCCUCAUUUCCAACAUGCUCUCCUCCCUUCUGCUCCCAGAGCCCUCCUGAGCCCUGGCACCAGGCAGCACAGUCCCACAUCACAUCCCAACUUUCUCCUCCAUCCCUGCACGUGGAUCUGUCUGUACCGAGGGGUCUGUGCUCCCCAGGACACACGGCGCGUUCCUGACCCUCGGCAGUGGGAAUCCAUCAAGGGAGCGGUGAUGGAGGAUUGUCCGAGGGCAUGAAGCCAACACAGAGGCAUAGGAAGCACUCCUGUCUGCAGGGCUCCUUCUGACCACCGUGUGUGACAUGAGGAGAAGCUCACAGGGAGGCUCUGUGGGACCCUUCCCAAAGCUACCGGGGCCCUACGGAGGCAGAAUGAGUAUAGUAAAAACACAGCAUCUACCCACAGCAGCGGCUCACUACGAGUUAAUAAGAACUGGCAGCAGAUGAACGGAGGUCAAGGCUGGGAGGAGCGGUGGGCACUUGGCAUUUACAGGGGGAAAAUAAAGGGAUAGCAAGGGGGAAAAUGGACUCUUUUCAUUUCUUGCAUUAGCGAUCCCCUGGGGCAGCAGAGUGUCGCAGUGAGCUGGGACUGAAAAGAAGAACAGAUCUGUCUGCGGGCAAGUGGACUGCGGGAUGCUCUUUGCUCACUGCGAGGAGGUGGAGUCUCUGUUUGCUCCGAGCUCUCUGCAGACCAUUGCUGGACACGAUGGAACCCAUCCUGAAAAAAAAAACGUGCUAUCCUUGGAGAUAUUUCUUGUUGUCGUUGUUGUUGAAAAGUCAAAUG